GUCUCAGGCCGUAUCAGCCUGAAGGCGCCCGAUCUCGUCUGAUCUCGGAAGCUAAGCAGGGUCGGGCCUGGUUAGGAUCUUGGAUGGGAGACCACCUGGGAAUCCCGGGUGCGUCGAGGCU
rnacentral:rRNA from 1 species